rfam:Gossypium hirsutum cultivar TM-1 chromosome 20, whole genome shotgun sequence
UAUUAAAAAUUUUAUUCAUUUGUAUUGUCAAAAAUUAGUGUGAUUAACGGAAUAAUUAGACAGUAACAUAUGACGUGUCACACGUAAUUUAUGUUGAUAUACAAAAAUUAAUUUUUAAUAAUAAAAAUAGAUAAAAUUUUAACA